CCCUUAGAUGUCCUGGGCCGCACGCGCGUUACACUGAUGCAUUCAACGAGCUUAUAACCUUGGCCGAGAGGCCUGGGCAAUCUUGUUAACGUGCAUCGUGAUAGGGAUAGAUUAUUGAAAUUAUUAAUCUUGAACGAGGAAUUCCUAGUAAACGCAGAUCAUCAAUCUGCAUUGAUUACGUCCCUGCCCUUUGUACACACCGCCCGUCGCACCUACCGAUUGGAUGUUCCGGUGAAGCCUCGGGAUGAGGACUGGUGCCUUUAUUGGCAUGAGUUGUUCAGAACUUGUCUAAACCUUAUCAUCUAGAGGAAGGUGAAGUAGUAACA
rnacentral:rRNA from 1 species